rnacentral:rRNA from 1 species
GCCUAACCCUAAACAUAGACAACACCAUACAAUGCUGUCCGCCAGAGAACUACGAACGAAAAGUUUAAAACUCCAAGGACUUGGCGGUACCCUAUAUCGACCUAGAGGAGCCUGUCCUAUAAUCGAUACUCCACGCUUUACCCAACCACUCCUUGCAAUUCAACCUAUAUACCGCCGUCGCCAGCCUACCCUAUGAAAGAAGUACAGUGGGCACAAUGGUCAAUAACCAAAACGUCAGGUCAAGGUGUAGUAAAUGGGGUGGAAGAGAUGGGCUACAUUUUCUGCACAGAAAAUACGAAUAAUGCAGUGAAAUCUGUAUUUGAAGGCGGAUUUAGCAGUAAGACGAACCAGAGACCUUGUCUUAAACUUCGCUCUAGGGUGCGC